rnacentral:tRNA from 1 species
GGAGGGGUGGUCGAGUGGUUGAUGGCUCUGGUCUUGAAAACCAGCGUGCCGAAAGGCACCGUGGGUUCGAAUCCCACCCCCUCCG